rnacentral:rRNA from 1 species
CCCUUAGAUGUCCGGGGCCGCACGCGCGCUACACUGAAGGAAUCAGCGUGGCUUUCUCCCUGACCCGAAAGGGUUGGGAAACCCGUUGAAUCUCCUUCGUGAUAGGGAUUGGGGCUUGAAAUUGUUCCCCAUGAACGAGGAAUACCUUGUAAGCGCGGGUCAUCAUCCCGCGCUGAAUACGUCCCUGCCCUUUGUACACACCGCCCGUCGCUCCUACCGAUUGAGUGGUCCGGUGAGGCUUUGGGAUCUGAGCGGAAAGAGCGUUUCGCUGUUUCUGCUCGGAAAACUCAGUCGAACCUUAUCAUUUAGAGGAAGGAGAAGUCGUAACA